rnacentral:rRNA from 1 species
CGCUGAACUUUAGCAUAUUAAUAAGCGGAGGAAAAGAAACUAACCAGGAUUCCCCUAGUAACGGCGAGUGAAGCGGGAAGAGCUCAAGCUUAAAAUCUCUAUGCAAGUUUUGCAUGGCGAAUUGUAGUCUAUAGAGGCGCUGUCAGUGCAGCUAUUUGGGAUAAGUUCCUUGGAAGAGGACAGCAUCGAGGGUGAUACUCCCGUUUGUGCCUGAGUAGCUUGUGCGUACGACACGUUUUCUUUGAGUCGCGUUGUUUGGGACUGCAGCGCAAAGUAGGUGGUAAAUUCCAUCUAAAGCUAAAUAUUGGUGCGAGACCGAUAGCGAACAAGUACCGUGAGGGAAAGAUGAAAAGAACUUUGAAAAGAGAGUUAAAGAGUACCUGAAACUGCUGAAAGGGAAGCGAAUCGUAUCCAGUGUCUAUAAUCUGUAGCAUAUUUCAUUGGCGAGUAGGUGCGUGCAGUAUGUAAGAAGUGGUUUUCUGCUCUUUGUGCUGUUCUGCGUUUGCUUGUUGGUGCCCUGUGUUGCGGUGGGACGUCAGAGUCAGUUCGUAUGCUGUGAGAAAUGGCUACUGAGGAGGUAGGUUAGGAGCUUGCUCUUGGCUGUUAUAUCUUGGUAGUUAGUUGUCGUGGUUGGGACUGAGGUGCCUACAAUGUGCUUUAAAGUGUUUGGGACUCUCGUUUGGUUACCUGUUUGGAUAGCUUGCUAUGCUGACGGAGUGAUUGGUCGAUUGAGAUCUAGAGUAACUUUUGCCGUUCGGGACUUUGACGAAAUGGAGCGAUUCGGCCCGUCUUGAAACACGGACCAAGGAGUCUAACAUGUGUGCAAGUGUUAGGGUGUGGAAACCCCAGCGCGAAAUGAAAGUAAAGGAUGGCGUACGCUGUCUGAGGUAGGAAACCUUUCUUCUGAGAGGUGGCACUAUCGACCGAUCAUGAACCCUCGUGGUGAAAGAUUUGAGUUUGAGCACAUAUGUUGGUACCCGAAAGAUGGUGAACUAUGCCUGAGUAGGGUGAAGCCAGGGGAAACUCUGGUGGAAGCUCGUAGCGAUUCUGACGUGCAAAUCGAUCGUCAAACUUGGGUAUAGGGGCGAAAGACUAAUCGAACCAUCUAGUAGCUGGUUCCCUCCGAAAUUUCCCUCAGGAUAGCAGCAACUUAUUUACGAUAGUUUUAUGAGGUAAAGCGAAUGAUUAGAGGUCUGGGGGAAGAAACUUCCUUCGCCUAUUCUCAAACUUUAAAUCUGUAAGACCUGCAGGUUUCUUAAUUGAACUUGUGGAUGUGAAUAUCAAGUUGCUAGUGGGCCAUACCGGGUAAGCUGGUCUGGCG